rnacentral:rRNA from 1 species
UACGUAUGGAGCAAGCGUUAUCCGGAUUUACUGGGUGUAAAGGGAGCGUAGGCGGCGAGGCAAGUCUGAUGUGAAAACCCGGGGCUCAACCCCGGGACUGCAUUGGAAACUGUCCUGCUAGAGUGUCGGAGGGGUAAGUGGAAUUCCUAGUGUAGCGGUGAAAUGCGUAGAUAUUAGGAGGAACACCGGUGGCGAAGGCGGCUUACUGGACGACAACUGACGCUGAGGCUCGAAAGCGUGGGGAGCAAACAGG